UGCUGCCUUCGCAAAGUUGUUAACCCCAGCCUGCUGGCCGCCGCUGCCUCCUCUGCCUUGAACCUUCGGUGCCUAUCUCUCCGAUUUCCCCCAGUCGCCCGCAGUUCCUGGGGGAAGCCACCCCAUUCCGCCACCGACCAUGGGAGAAAGUCCGACUUUCCGUCCAUCCAGGAUUUUCAAGAUGUUCGAGGACCCAUAUGCUGCCUGGAAGCUGCCUCUGCCAGACACACGAGUCUCCAGCCUAUAUUGUUACAAUUUUCUCCCCAGAACUGGCUUCUCCUCUGCCUGCGCUGAUGAAAGUUGAAUUUGGCCGGUGGAAAUAUUCCUUUUGGGGGCCGAGAUGUUUCCUGUGAACUGUGAACUGUGGUGAGAGCAGACAUGUCGUCACUCCAGUCCGGGGAGCAGAAGGGCGGGC
rnacentral:lncRNA from 1 species